AAGCGGAGGAGCAUGUGGUUAAUUCGAUGAUACGCGAGGAACCUUACCUGGGCUUAAAUGUAGAGUGCAUCUUCUAGAGAUAGGAAUUCCCUUCGGGGCUUUCUGCAAGGUGCUGCAUGGUUGUCGUCAGCUCGUGCCGUGAGGUGUCGGGUUAAGUCCCAUAACGAGCGCAACCCUUAUCGUUAGUUGCCAUCUGGUAAAGCAGGGGACUCUAGCGAAACUGCCACCGUAAGGUGAGAGGAAGGUGGGGAUGACGUCAAAUCAGCACGGCCCUUAUGUCCAGGGCUACACACGUGUUACAAUGGCAGGUACAGAGGGCUGCGAAGCCGCGAGGUGGAGCGAAUCCCAGAAAACCUGUCUCAGUCCGGAUUGAAGUCUGCAACUCGACUUCAUGAAGGCGGAAUCGCUAGUAACCGCGAAUCAGCAGGUCGCGGUGAAUACGUUCCCGGGCCUU
rnacentral:rRNA from 1 species